GGUUUCUCCAUGUCGGUCAGGCUAGUCUUGAACUCCCAACCUCAGGUGAUCUGCCUGGCUCAACCUCCCAAAGUGCUGGGAUUAUAGGCAUGAGCCACCAAACCUGGCCUGAAAUAUUUUUAAUGUGUAGAUUCUUAAUUUUACUACCCGGUGCUACUGAAUCAAAAAUUGGUGUUGGCAAUUAGAUUUUAAGGUGUGGGCAACAAUGUUUUAUGCCACUAAAUUUCUGGAACUACCAUUAAUCUAGAGUGAAGGACAUAGAUCAGCUCAGAAAUGUGGGAAGUUCAGGUCAAGAUAAAACAUCUACAUGAGGUUCCGCUUCCCCUUGUCAUAGGCUCCCUCCCUUCCCCUCCCUGGUGGUCACAGGGCUCCCCACAGCUGGGCCUAGCAGUAGCAGCAACUGCUCCCACGGGUGUCUCUUCCUGCCCUGCCCUGCUUCCCCUUCCCUCCUCUCCCCUCCUUGCACCUGGCGCUGGCCUAGAAUGGCUCCUAGAAUGGCUCCGCAAGGCACCCCCGCCCCAAGCUCCAACCAAGGUGCCUCACUGGGGUGGAGACCUUGGCUCACCUAUGGCUAUUUCACAAUUCUGAAUUGUGUCUGAUAACGGAGAAAUGGAAGACAAGCCUCCAGCACCUCCUGUGGGAAUGAGCAGUACCAUUUUUAGCACUGGAGGCAAAGAUCCUUUGUCAGCCAAUCAUAGUUUGAAACCUUUGCCCUCUGUUCCAGAGGAGAAAAAGCCCAGGAAUAAAAUCAUCUCCAUAUUCUCAGGCAAAGAAACAGAAGUAAAAAGAAAGAAAAGGAAUGGCCAGACAUUUCUCCUCCAUCUGAUUUUGAACACACUAUCCAUGUUGGCUUUGAUGCUGUUACAGGAGAAUUCACUGGCAUGCCAGAACAGUGGGCUUGAUUACUACAGACCUCCAAUAUCACCAAACUAGAGCAAAAGAAGAAUCCUCAGGCUGUGCUGGAUGUCUCAAAGUUCUACGGCUCCAACACAGUGAAGCAGCAAAAAUAUCUGAGCUUUACUCCUCCUGAGAAAAAUGGCUUCCCUUCUGCAACACCACCACUGAAUGCCAAGGGACCAGAAACAUCAGCAGUAGUGACAGAGGAAGAUGAUGAUGAUGAUGAAGAAACCGCUCCUCCUGUUACUGCCCCAGGACCAGAUCAUACAAAAUCAAUUUACACAUGGUCUGUAAUUGACCGUUUCUGCACCAGUUGGUGAUUCAAACGUUGAUGGUGGUGCCAGGUCUUCAGACAAACAGAAAAAGAAGACUAAGAUGACAGAUGAAGAGAUUAUGGAGAAAUUCAGAACUACUUUGAGCAUAGGUGACCCUAAGAAACAAUACACAAGAUAUGCAAAAAUUGGUCAAGGGACUUCUGGUACAUUUUCACUGCUACUGAUGCAUUGGGAGAGGAGGUUGCAUCAAACAGAUUUACAGAAACAGCCAAAGAAGGAAUUGAUCAUUAACGAUAUUCUGGUGAUGAAAGAAUUAAAAAAUCCCAACAUAUUUAACUUCUUGGACAAUUACCUGGUAGGAGAUUAAUUGUUUGUGGUAAUGGGAGUAACUUGCUGGUGGAUCACUUACUGUCGUUGUAUCAGAAACCUGUAUGGAUGAAGCACAGAUUGCUGCUGUAUGCAGAGAGUGUUUCAGGCACUGGGGUUUUUACAUGCUAAUCAAGUGAUCCACAGAGACAUCAAAAGUGACAAUGUACUUUUGGGAAUGGAAGGAUCAGUUGCUUACUGACUUUGGUUUCUGUGCCCAGAUGACCCCAGAGCAAAGCAAUGGCAGUACCAUGGUCAGAACACUAUACUGGAUAGAACCAGAGGUGGUUACGCAGAAAGCUUAUGGCCGUAAUGUUGACAUAUGGUCUCUGGGUAUCAUGGCUAUUAAGAUGGUAGACGGAGAGCCUCCAUACCUUAGAGAAAAUCUCUUGAGGACCUUUUACCUAAUAGCAACUAAUGGAAUCCCAGAACUUCAGAAUCCAGAGAAACUUUCCCCAAUAUUCCAGGACUUCUUAAAUCAAUGUUUGGAAAUGGAUGUGGAAAAAAGGGGUUCAGCCAAAGAAUUAUUACGGCCGCCUUUCCUGAAACUGGCCAAACCACUAUCUAGCUUGACACCACAUCAUGGCAGCUCAAGAAGCAAUGAAGAGUAACUGUCAACAUCACUGCUGUGGCCUCAUAUUCUUUUUCCCACUUUCUAAAAAAAGUAUUUUCGUAUAUGAAAAUUAUUACUUUUGGGGGUUUAAAGAAAUGGUCUGCAUAACCUGGAUGAAAGAAGGAAAUGACUAUUCUCUGAAGACAACAAAGAGAAAAUUGCAAAAAUGAAAUUAUGAUUUUCAUAUGAACCCCUUCUUGAGGGUCCAAAAGGAACUGUGGACUGAAUCACCAGCCUUAGGUCUUUCAGCAAACAGCCUAACAGAGCCAUUUAUCAAGACUGAGAUUUGCAUUUUACUUUCCAGACUUUAAUGUACUAGAUCCCAUUAAUUGUCCCCUUGGGGGUAUUUCCAAUACUUGAAUGGCAGAUUUGAGUUUUUCAGAGUAUGUUUCAUCUGAGUCUUUCUCUCCUUCAUAGCUUUCCUUUCCUUACUUCCACCUUUUAAGUUGCUGUUGAGUUUCUCAUGCCUAGGCAAGUGUAACAGAAAUUACGUAGCUCCUUAUGCUGGCAAAGGAGCUCUAUAUAGUUUCACUUUGUACAAAAGUUAGGACUAGCUGUUGUUACAUGUAAUAUUUUAGUUCAGAACUUGACCUGAAGGAAGGGAAGAAAAGUAUGUGACUUUUACCUUUUUUAACAAAUGUGAAAAAGUCAUUUUAGUAAUUUUGUGGUCAUAAGUUUGGCAUUUGUUACAUGUAUAGAGAGAAGACUAGUAAUCUAUAUUUAUAACUAAAUCAUUGAGAUAAAAAAAGAUUCCAAUUGACUACAGAAAUCUUCCAAUUUGGUCUUCCCUUCUGCCUGUUUUCUCUUCAGGUUUGGCUCUAGGAACCAAAGUGAUUUGUUCUUGUUCCAACCUGGCUUUAUGACUUUGGUUAGUGCCACUACCUUCCUCUUCUCUCCUUUUUUUCCCCUUCAUUUUGGAAAUAAGUUUCUGUAUAUGUUGCAAUUUUAGAUUUAGGUAUGUUUUUUUUUUUCAUUAACCCUCUCUCACCUCACACAUACCUCCCUCCUGUGGCAAAUAAUAUAAUAACCAGUGAAUUUUCAGAAUUUAAAACUAGCUUUUUUUUUUUUUUUCAUUUAAAGGAGAAAAACAUUUGGAACUAGCAGAGGCAGAGUGUGAGACAUGAACCUUGUCGAGCUCUGAUAUAGUGAGACCAGAUUAUAUUCAUGAAAGAGAAAUGUUAGCGUGUUAUAGAGAAGCAGCUGAUAACCAAUCAACCGCAGACACUUGUUGGAAGUCUCAUUGUCCAAGGUCAUUACCAGUGCUUUAUUAUCUAUGAGAACUUAAGUGACAGAGUAUUUCUUGGUGAAUUUAUAGAUCAUUUGAGAUGUUGAGUUACUUUAGUGUUUUUUUUUUUCAAAUAAGCAGAGGAUAUUAAUGUAAAAAACUGGAGAAAGAAAAAUGACAUGUGUGUUGAUAGCAAUAAUUUUUUCGUUUAAAGAUUCUAAAAGGUCUGAGACCUGUAGCAUUAAUUAUUUGAGUGCCCUCUCUUUUCUCCUCCCUUCCCAUCCCCUCUCUUUCUCUUCUCUUUCUUCCUCUCCUUCUCUCCUUUAUUCAUUGUUUUGCUUUUAGAGUAGGUAUUGUUCACUUAUCUGUGUUUUGGUUCUGGCAUUUGUUCCCACCAUCCCCUUCCCCUCAAUAACUUCACCCCUGCUUGCCGCCCUGCAGUAGUACAAAUCAUGAAUAAAAAUAAUUUUGCUGUUGUAGU